UUCAAAUCCCACCACUACCUCAUCCUAGCUUUGCAAUCUUGGCGAGUGACUUUAACUGCUCUGUGCCUCAGUCAUCUCAGCUGUAAUAUAGGUAUUAUGAUAGUGUAUGGCAUAAAGGUGAGGAUUAAAUGAAUUAAGAUACAAAAAAGCACUUAGAACAGUAACUGACAGAAACUAAGUUCUCAAUGAAUGUUAGCUAUUGUUAUGAGGAUGACGACUUUUGAACAGAGUUUGAGAGAACCUUCCUAGAGGAUAUGGAAGGUCUGUUUUCUUAUUCCAUAUAUGAAAGAGUUGUAGGAGGUAUUAACGGAUUAGUCAUAGCAUCAGCUGCAAGGAAAACAGACUCUAAAUCUUAAUUUAGCUACACAAGGUAUUUAAUAGUUUCCACAUUAUUUGCAACAGAGCAAUGUAUCUUAUGGUUUAAAGGACAAUAUAUUAACUUUAACAAAUCUCAUGUUAAACAUAUUUUUUCUAGGAAGAAACACUAAAAACAACUCGCUACAUGCAAACUGAUGGAAGAUUUUAUUGGCAAACCAACCCCCACACUACUCACGGGACCCAUUGUAAUUCUGAGAAGCAGCCUGGCUGCUCUGUCCACUGAGGAUUAGCUCACCACUCUGGCCACUCCCUCCAUUGUCUAUUCUCCCCACAGAGCUCCCCCUAGCACAGCAGCUCAGAUCAUCAUCCUUCCUCUGCUGAGAAAGGCACACAUGACGCCUGCCUCAUACCAGCCGCUUCAAGGGAUGUCCUGAGAAGAAAGCAUCUAGAGUAUGGCAUUCAAGAGGCUUACAGGCUAGAAAGAGCUUGCAUGUUUCCAGUUCUUACUUCCAUCUUGAGUGAAGAAACCAUUUUAUUUCAGAGACUGGCAGUCGUUUAACUCUCAAGAGUGUUAAUAUCUCACAAAUGUAAAGCACUCUACAGUGCGCAAAGGACGCCACCUGGGUUAAAUGCUAGGAGGCAGAGCAAAGGGGUG